GACGGAGGGUGCUAGCGUUGUUCGGAAUGACUGGGCGUAAAGGGCGCGUAGGCGGCCAUUCACGUCGGAUGUGAAAGCCCGGGGCUCAACCCCGGAACGGCAUCCGAUACGGGCUGGCUCGAGACCGAGAGAGGUGAGUGGAAUACCCAGUGUAGAGGUGAAAUUCGUAGAUAUUGGGUGGAACACCGGUGGCGAAAGCGGCUCACUGGCUCGGUUCUGACGCUGAGGCGCGAAAGCGUGGGGAGCAAACAGG
rnacentral:rRNA from 1 species